UACGUAGGAUGCAAGCGUUGUUCGGAAUUACUGGGCGUAAAGAGUACGUAGGCGGUUUGAAAAGUCUGAUAUUAAAGACUGGGGCUUAACUUCAGGAGUGUAUCGGAAACUUUCAGACUAGAGGACAAUAGAGGAAGUCGGAAUUCUCAGUGUAGCGGUGAAAUGCGUAGAUAUUGGGAAGAACACCAGUGGCGAAAGCGGACUUCUGGGUUGUUACUGACGCUGAGGUACGAAAGCGUGGGGAGCAAACGGG
rnacentral:rRNA from 1 species